GGCCCUGGCCGUGCCGUGACGUCACCGAGGCGGGAAAAGGAGCGGCCGUUAACAGAAAAGGGCGCGAAGCCCUCGUGUAGAGGGUGAGAGAGGAGCGCGAGGAAAGCUUCACAGAAUUGAAGAGGAGGAGCUGUUAUGGAAAAAAAUGAUGUUCAAAGUUUGAAGAAUGCUAAGAGAGUUUCCCACCAUCCUGUUACCACCUUCAUCAUCUGGGAGAGACUGGAUUAUUUCUAAGGGAAGAUUGGCCAAAGGAGACAAAUACGUGUCAAAUAUGAUAUCGACAAGAUUGUUGCAGCUGAAUUCCUCAACCCACAAGGAAGGCUGUUGCAGAUUGUUAAAGCAAAUAUGUGAUAUUUAUCACAAGCUCAAGGAAUAGCACCUCGUCACACUUUGUUGCUGUCUGGCCAUAAUAUUGACUUUACCAGCAAUGAAGGUGCUAUUUUCCCUCGAGAAACAAAUGAUAUGAGCUGAAGCAGGAAGAGACUUCUCCCAUCAAUGAAAGACAACACAGUUGUUGAAUUUGUAAUGCACUGAGUUCUGUUUUGAUAGCUUGCAAUAAAUGACUGCUGACAUCUG